GUCUCUAUGGCUCAGUAGGUUAGAGCGUAGGCAGACCAACAAAUUCAAGGUCUCAGGUUCGAACCCCACUGGUGACA